UGGGGAAUUUUGGACAAUGGGCGAAAGCCUGAUCCAGCAAUGCCGCGUGUGUGAAGAAGGCCUUCGGGUUGUAAAGCACUUUUGUCCGGAAAGAAAUCCUUGGCUCUAAUACAGUCGGGGGAUGACGGUACCGGAAGAAUAAGCACCGGCUAACUACGUGCCAGCAGCCGCGGUAAUACGUAGGGUGCAAGCGUUAAUCGGAAUUACUGGGCGUAAAGCGUGCGCAGGCGGUUUGCUAAGACCGAUGUGAAAUCCCCGGGCUCAACCUGGGAACUGCAUUGGUGACUGGCAGGCUAGAGUAUGGCAGGAGGGGGGUAGAAUUCCACGUGUAGCAGUGAAAUGCGUAGAGAUGUGGAGGAAUACCGAUGGCGAAGGCAGCCCCCUGGGCCAAUACUGACGCUCAUGCACGAAAGCGUGGGGGAGCAAACAGGAUUAGAUACCCUGGUAGUCCACGCCCUAAACGAUGUCAACUAGUUGUUGGGGAUUCAUUUCCUUAGUAACGUAGCUAACGCGUGAAGUUGACCGCCUGGGGAGUACGGUCGCAAGAUUAAAACUCAAAUGAAUUGACGGGGUCAUAGCUGUUUCC
rnacentral:rRNA from 1 species